AUGAUUUGAUGAGGAUUUCGUAACUCAUUAGUUGAACUUCCCGCUAGCUGUACCGUUAAUGUUAUGGUAAUACGGCGCAUGCGUUGUUCAUCAACACUUACAUACAACCACGGAUAAGUAUUUGUUUCUUGUAUUUUCGGGAAAAAAUGCCGAUAUUUUAAAAGUUUUAUACCGAUUUUAUUUUUUUUAACACAAUGAGCGAUAUUUUUUUUUUUAACUGCAACUAAUCAAAUGAUUAAUCUCUAGAUUUUUUAGAUGAGAACGUUCAAUCUAAACGUCUUUGCGUUCAAAUUCAACGUACGUACGAUCUCUGUAUUGCGCGCGCGCAUAGCCUAUAUAUAUAGCGAGCGCCUAUAUAGCUAGCCGAAGCCUACAGCGAUGCGGAUGCGGUUCCAAAAUAUAGGCUCAACGAGCACGAUAUCCACCUAGAUUCGUCUGUACUAUUCGCGUCUCGAAAUACCUCAUUUUCUGGCGUUUUCAUCAUGGAUGAAAGACUUUAAUGAGCUUAUUGCUGAUAUAUCAAAUAUCUCCAGGAAAAGACAGAAAAAUGAAGAAUGGAUGAAAUCCAAAGCAAAAGAGCGGAGAAACAGUGCACUACUGAAGGUUAACGGCCAGCCGUUGUAUGCCGUCAUCCAUCACAACGCCUUUGUAAGGCAGCAAUCCUUGACGAGGGGGGGGGGGGGGCAUUGAUGACAUCUUCCAUGCUCUCUCUAAGAAGAUUCCAAGACAAGAUGCAUUCAUAGCAGCGUACAAAACGGAUGUUAAUUAAAAGCUCUUGCUCGCACGCAGUAGCCAUCAACAUUGAAGAGAAAAAUCAUGCAGCUACUGCUAUGCAUGGACCACGCACCUACCUUGAAACUGUCAAGGAGUUUUAUGCAGCAAUCUGCAUAUAUCGGAGCAAUGGAUGUUGAUAGUGAUGAGAAGGAGGAUGAAUCAACAGUUGUCAUGUAUCAUGUUUGAUGAAUGAAACUAUAAAGAGGCAUGUUAAUUUAAUUCAAUUGACAAAGUCGAUAAACGUAUCACUAAAAUAGUUCUGGAAUGCAUCAGAGUAUAGAUCCUUCCAGAUAAAUGAUUCCAUUAGGAAUGGUAUUUUACUAUUUUUGUUGUUGGUAGUUUAACUUUAAAGCUUUCAAAUUAAGAUGUGAAUUUGCCAAAUAUUCAUGGCGUAAGAUAAAACAGUUACAUGUAUAUAUGUUUUGAGAUUGAAAUUAAAUGGCGUACUAAUCACCUCCCGGAAGUACAGGCCAGGUAUCAAAAGAAACAGUUGCACCGUUGGUUUUAGGUAAAAUGUUAGCAUUAAUUAUGGUGACAUUGAUUACUUUUUGAAAUGUUUUACAGAAUUUUAUAAUGAGGUAUUUUGUAUAAACGAUCAAGUCGAUCAUUGUGUUUGCAAAACAGCAUACUACCAUACUGUUAUUUCCAAAUUUGCCCUGAGCAAUACACUCCUCUGUACUGAUCAGUUUACUGGUGCAAAUAAUCCUAAUAUUCCAUUGGUAAAGAAAGAGAGAGAAGAAACCUGUGUCAUCAAUAUAUUGAAGAUUGUAGAGGUAUGCGUGUGGAUGGAUGUCAGGUUAAAUGAUGUAUUUGUUGCACAUUAAACUUAUCAGUCUGGCGGGACGUUUGCCAUGAAGCAUACUCUCGACAGUCACUGUUAUGAAUUUGUUAGGUAACUUUAAUUCAAAUUGCUAGCAGCAUAGUGAAGGCUUGUCAAUAGUUCUGCUUCUGUAAUUCUGUUGAGUGUUGACACUGCAGCCUCUUCUAUCGUACCAUCACUUUUGGGCAGACUGCCCUUCUGUCUUUACACAAUUGAGAAAUAAAUGUUGUCAACCAGCAUAUGUUACUUUAAAACAAAAAUGAGAGUAAUGUAACAAGAGUUUUCUAUUACAUUUUAGCCUUGUGAAAGGAAAGUUAUGUAAUUAUCAUAUUUUUUUCCAUGUUAGUGAUGUCACAUAAUCAUUAAUGAUUCAAUGUUGUAUACAUACUCACAUUUUUAGUAAACAUUGUGAAUUGGUGAUGAUAAUGUACAUUAAUUGAUAUUUUGAAAAUUUAUAUUAUCACAUGGAAUGAUGACUAGGGCUGGCAGUAGGGGCAAUGUUUAGGAUUCUUUCAACUCUGUGGCUAAAUCAGGAUUCUCACCCUGUAACGACUAUAAAGUAGUUUUACUAAAAGUGCCGUAUUCAUAGUCGCUUAUAUUAUAGUGGCCAUGGAAUUUUUGUUAAAGGUUCUUAUAUCUCUAUUCUAAGUUCUUGCUCAUUUUUAUGUAUAACAAUGCCUUGGCAGAGAGUACUGUGCUACCACUGCUGUGCAGUGUUUACUUUUUAGUAUACUGAUAGACCAAUGAGUAAAUAAAAGAUAACAGUUAACAAAUAAUUGAAAAGAAUACGUAUUUUCAUUAAUUUUGGGAAUGGCUGCUGGUCCUGGAAAAAAACGGCUCCCUGUUCUUUAAAAAAUAAGAACCGAGAGCCUUGACUUACAUAAAUUUGUAACAAAAAUGUUCUUCUCGACCGCCUGCGAAACAUGUCCAGAUACUUAACCAACUGAGCUACAAAUUGUUUUGAUAUGAGAAAUAAAUUUGCUUUUGAUUAUUUUUCCCAUUUCUCAACGAAAGCCUUACUGGAGCCAGUUAUAAUUGGAAUGGAGUAACACA